GGUGUUGUUUCUGUUGAUGUGGGUGUUGUCGUAAUAGUUGUAGGUGUUGUUGUUACAGUUGUAGGUGUUGUUUCUGUUGAUGUGGGUGUUGUCGUAAUAGUUGUAGGUGUUGUUUCUGUUGAUGUGGAUGUUGUAAUGGUAGUAGUUGUUUCACAGUCGAUGUUGCCUUCACAACAUUUUACACGGAUUUCAUA